CUCUUCGGGGAUGAUUAAACCGGCGCACGGGUGAGUAACACGUGAGUGACCUGCCUUUUAGACUGGAACAACUUACCGAAAGGUGAGCUAAUGCCGGAUGAGUUAUAUAAGUGCAUGUUUAUAUAGGAAAAGUUGGGGAGACCUGACGCUGAAAGAUGGACUCGCGUCCCAUUAGCUAGUUGGUAGGGUAAUGGCCUACCAAGGCGACGAUGGGUAGCCGGCCUGAGAGGGUGGCCGGCCACACUGGGACUGAGACACGGCCCAGACUCCUACGGGAGGCAGCAGUGGGGAAUUUUGCGCAAUGCUCGUAAGAGUGACGCAGCGACGCCGCGUGAAUGACGAAGGCCUUCGGGUCGUAAAGUUCUUUCGACAGGGAAGAAAAUGCCUAUAAGUAACUGUGUAUGUAUUGACGGUACCUGUAUAAGCAGCCCCGGCUAACUCCGUGCCAGCAGCCGCGGUAAUACGGAGGGGGCGAGCGUUGUUCGGAGUGACUGGGCGUAAAGAGCACGUAGGCGGUGUUGUAAGUCAUUAGUCAAAGACUAGAGCUCAACUUUAGUAAGGCUAGUGAUACUAUAAUACUAGAGUAUCAGAGAGGAUUGCAGAAUUCCUGGUGUAGCGGUGAAAUGCGUAGAUAUCAGGAGGAAUACCGUUAGCGAAGGCGGCAAUCUGGCUGGAAACUGACGCUGAGGUGCGAAAGCGUGGGUAGCAAACAGGAUUAGAUACCCUGGUAGUCCACGCUGUAAACGAUGGAUGCU
rnacentral:rRNA from 1 species